rnacentral:rRNA from 1 species
UUCGCAAUGCCCGAAAGGGUGACGGAGCGACGCCGCGUGUGGGAUGAAGUCCUUCGCGAUGUAAACCACUUGUCAGGGGGAAGAAAGUACUGAUCGUGAAGAUGGGCUCGACGGUACCGCCAGAGGAAGGCACGGCUAACUCUGUGCCAGCAGCCGCGGUAAGACAGAGGUGCCAAGCGUUAGGCGGAAUCACUGGGCUUAAAGCGUGUGUAGGCGGACCGUUAAGUGCUUUGUGAAAUCCCCACGGCUCAACCGGGGAAAUGCUUGGCAGACUGGCGGUCUUGAGCGGCCUAGGGGCAACUGGAACAAACGGUGGAGCGGUGAAAUGCGUAGAUACCGUUUGGAACGCCAACGGUGAAAACAGGUUGCUGGGGGCCAGCUGACGCUGAGACACGAAAGCCAGGGGAGCAAACGGGAUUAGAUACCCCGGUAGUCCUAGCCGUAAACGAUGGGCACUAAGUAGAGGGGUUUU